GGCUCCACACUGUCAGCAUAGAGCCCAACAUGGGGCUUGAUCUCACGGAUCGUGAGAUCAUGAUCUGAGCCAAAAUCAAGAGUUGGAUGCUCAACUGUCUGAGCCACCCAGGCGCCCCUUAAAAAAGUAAAAAAAAAAUUUUUUUUUAACAUUUAUUCAUUUUUGAGAGUGAGAGAGACAGAGCAUGAGUGGGGGAGGGGCGGAGAGAGAGGGAGACACAGAAUCCGAGGCAGGAUCCAGGCUCCGAACUGUCAGCACAGAGCCCAACGCGGGGCUCGAACUCACAGACGGCGAGAUCAUGAUCUGAGCCGAAGUCGGACGCUCAACCGACUGAGCCCCCCGGGCACCCCGGCUUAAAAAAGGUUUUUUAAGCAAUCUCUACCCCAAAUUUGGGCUCAAACCCACGACCCAAGAUCGGGAGUCUCAAGCUCCACCUGCUGAGCCAGCCGGGUGCCCCGGCUUUGCGGAGGUUUUAACGAGAAAUUCCAAACACGUACCAAAGCAGAACGGUGGAAUGAGCCCCACUCACCCCCCAGCUUGAGCAAUUAGCAAGUCAUGGCCAGUCCAACUCUAUGUCUACACUGACCCUCUUCUCUGCAUCCCUAGAUUGUUUGAAGCCGGUUGUAGCUGUUGGCAUCUCUAACAGCCAAGGAUUCCUUCUCAAAAACUUACUUACAACACAUCAGCAUGUCUAAAAAAUCAGGCUAUUCCUUAGUAUCAUCAAAGGGCAGUGUUGAAAUUUCCCAGAUUGCCUCACAAGUAUCCUUUCUAGAGUUGCCUCCUUGCGUUGCGUGGUUUUAGAGAGACCAAGCUGCUUUUGCCAGGACCGACCUGGUGAGCUCAUUCUCAGCCAUAAUGAGGUUUGAGGAAGUCCAAGUUUCUUCUCUGAAGUCGCACAGGAUGCUAUUCCCGCUCAGAUGUUUUCUGGAGGGUUGCUGAGGAACCGGUGUGCCUGCGUGGCCCACGUCACUGUGCCGCAGUGGCUGUCCGUCCUGCAACGCCAGUGGGGUGACUGAAAUCCUAAUUUGAGGGGUGCCUGGGCGGCUCAGUGGGUUAAGCGUCCGACUCUUGGUUUCAACUCCAGUUUUGAUCUCACGGUUUCGUGAGUUCGAGCCCCGCAUCAGGCUCUGCACUAAUGGUGCAGAAACUGCUUGGGAUUCUCUCUCCCUCCCUCUCUCUCAAAACAAAUCAAUUAAAAAAAAAAGAAAGAAAGAAAGAAAAAGAAAGGCUAAUUUGAGAGCCCCAGCGUAGUGCUGGAACUCACCAGCAAGACCUCUCCAGUCUCCCUCUCGGUUAUUAUACAGCGGCCGCCCCGCUCCUCAUCUGGGGGGUUUCCAGCCCCCAGCGGACACUGAAAGCAAGAACCCAUAUAUACCGUGUGCUUUCUGCUAACGCCUAAUGUAUACACCGGGCCCCGCAGGAGGUGAAAGCGGUAACUCACGGUAAAACAGAGUGAUUGCGACAGGACUGAAACACAGGUUAUGUGACUGUGCCCUCUCUCUGUCGUGUGCUUCCUCCUGGGAGGAUGUGAGGUGAUAAAGCGCCACGUGAGGAGGUGACAUGAGGGCACUGGAGCGGGCACGUGACUAACGUGGCGUUAGGCUGCGAGUGACCCUCUGAGGAGGCGUCAGGAGGACGACCAUCCGCGCCGGGAAACCCGCGUCGGCUGUAGGUGACUGAACCCACAGCAAGUGAAUUGUGGUGCCACUCUGGAUGGCCCUGUCCUCCUGUGACUCCUCAGUGACCUUCACCCCCCUGUGUGGCCAGAGAGCUGUCCAGGUCAUCAGCCUCCUAAGAGCAGGGUGAUGGGUACAGCUGUGCCGUCCUAAAAGACAUUUUGAGGACUAGGUCUCAUUGUCCUCCCUCAACUAUGGGGAACCAAGCCAGAGGACGGAGCUGCCAGAACUCGGGAUCGUGCAAGGCCUCGGCACAGAGGAAGAAAUGAGAGGUGGCGUAUGGGCCCUGCGUGUAGGAUGUCGGAAGAGGAAGGCCCGAGCGUUUAGAAGCACCAGGCCCACGGGAGUCUUGGGGACUAGCAGCCCUGGGAAGGUUCUGGAAAGCAGCCUACAGCUCUGAAUAGCUCUUGGGAGCAUAAAACAGAGAGAGACAGAGCAUGAGCAGGGGAGGGGCAGAGAGAGGAGGAGACCCAGAAUCCCAAGCAGGCUCCAGGCUCCCAGCUGUCAGCACAGAGCCCGACGUGGGGCUCGAACUCACAAACUGCAAGAUCAUGACCUGGGCUGAAGUUGGAUGCUUAACCGACUGAACCA